CUGACAUUGCUCCAGAUAGGAAUGCUCACCAAUCUUUGGAGGGCAAGAGGAGGUCUUGUUUCUCCAGUUGAGUUCUGUUCCCCCAGAUGUGAGCAAGACUGGGGCUGCUGAGUGGCCCAUCUCUGGGCCAUGCCCCCAGAUACCACAUGUGCUUCAGAUACAGGCAUGCCACAUGACAGUAUGUGGCACCAACACAAAGGGAAAG
rnacentral:lncRNA from 1 species